rnacentral:snoRNA from 1 species
GAUGUGAUGAUCUUUAACCAAGGGGAGUGUCUGACCGCUGAAUGCCGCAAUUAUUUUGCUGAUU